rnacentral:rRNA from 1 species
CCUACGGGAGGCAGCAGUGGGGAAUAUUGGACAAUGGGCGCAAGCCUGAUCCAGCCAUACCGCGUGAGUGAAGAAGGCCUUCGGGUUGUAAAGCCCUUUUGUUGGGAAAGAAAAGCGAUCGGUUAAUACCCGGUUGUUCUGACGGUACCCAAAGAAUAAGCACCGGCUAACUUCGUGCCAGCAGCCGCGGUAAU